AUACAGUAGAAUGGUUUUAUGCAUAUUUCAUUUGCAUAUCAUUAAGCCAUGUUAGCAAGGGGGCACUCAGAGCCAGGAGAAGUACAAAGUUGGGGAGACAGGGAAGGAAAAAAAGAUCCCUAUGAUGCUUAUCUUCAAACAGGGGCUUGUUCCAUGAUGUGUCUUCUGCUUUUGCUAAAAUCAUUAUGACUUGGAAACCUUUGAAGUUGGAUACAACCUUGGCUUCUUCUAAUUCCUGCAGAGCGGUAUAUUUUUAAAAACAGCAGCAAUGUCCCUGCACUAGACAAUUAAAGGAAUAUAAACUCCAGUGGGCUGAAACUAGUAGCUCUUUGGGGAAUGCAGAGACAGAGGCUUCUACAAAUACCAACACUUAAAAAAUAAUAAAGAGCAUCAUGCUAAAAACAAAGAAAGAAGACAAGAAAUGUUAACAUGUGGAUUAUAUUUGUUCCAUUUGGGGGGUAAUGAACUAAAGAGAAUGAAGAAGCCAUCGGUAAUUUAUCCCCUCAUUAAUGAAGUCACCUUUUGUAUGUGUUUGUUUUUAUCCUUUAAUUGUGAAGAUGGGUGUUGUCACUUUUGAAGUGGUUAAUUAAUUAUUUUAUAGCUCUGAUCCUUCUCCUGCACCUGACAGAAAAGUAAGGUGGUGGUUAGGGAAUAUGUGAGUAUUGGGGGUACCGGGGGUGGAGAAUACAGUGAGUUCUUUGUAGAUCGUAUACAUGCACAACAUAUUAAUUGAGGGCUUUUAAAGUUCCCUCAAUAGGCUGUUUCAUUCUUGGUAAAACGCAGCUGGUUAGCCACUGAUGGUGACUCUUCAAAUACCACUUUAACGAUUUUUAUUCUGUUACCAUCCUUCCUUGUUUUUCCUCAGUCGAGAGUGAGAAUGUGCCGCCACCCUUUCUUGCCCGAGACCUUUCCUCUUCUGUCUUCUUCACUUCCAAUUUUCAAACUGUGGAACAAUGUUGGUUUAAUAUUGAAUCCUGGUCACAGUGUAACUGCACAACUUGAUUUGGAAAUGAGAUGCUGGUUUAUAUUUAAAUUAUCCCCGCUCCUCCCUUAUCCUCCAAAGCUUUGUCUCUGCUAUGAAUAUUCAGAUGAGGCAUGAUGUGAUUGCACUGUACAAUUACUCCUAUCCAUGGUGGUGGCGGGGGCUGCUGGGGAGAGAGCCAGACAGCCUCCAAGCCAGUGUGGAGUUUUGUUUUCGGUGUUUUUUCUAUCUCUUGGCGCUGCGGUACACGCAGGUGUCGCUGUGGUUCUUUAUAAAGCUCUAAUGACAUGCAAAGGCUAACGACUUGGUUUGGACGCAAAGCAUCAACUGAAUGUUAUGGAUGUCUUUAAGAAAGAGAAAGAGAAAAUCCUGACUGAAGGAAUGUCCACAUAAAUUAUUUUUAUUUAAAUGAAUUCAAAGGAUGGGGUGAGGGCAAGUGAGAAGGAGUCACAUGGAAAACAUGCAUAAUAUUAAUAUGCACAAAGAAUUCUUCCCGAGGAGAGGCUCCUCACUACAGCUCAUGGGACAAACAGGUUCAUUAGGAGACAGCUCAGAGCGACUACAGCAUUUUGCUAUUUCAAUUUUUCCCUUAUUUUAAAUGAAGAGUCAGACAGAUGUGUUUUCUUUGCAUGACAGCAUUGAGAUGGAUCCAAUCUGUGAAAUUUGCUGCCCAAAUAGCAUUUCUAAUGGAAGCUGGGACUAAACAAGGGCAUGGAUAUGGAAGGGAGGGGAGAAGAGAGAAUCCACGAAGAGGAGGCUACUCAGCCACUGCAUGGCAUUUUGUAGCACAGGAAGCUGUCAGAAGCCAUCUUUGCUCCACUGGUCCCAGGUGUGGGCUCCUGGUCCAGAGAGCCAUCAGGGUUCACCAAGAUGAGCACUGAGACAGGCCCUUGUAGGUCUGAGGCAGAGGAAAGCAGCAACUUGGUGCCUGCUCCUCCCCCCUCAGCUGUCUUCAGCUCAGAAGCCAAAAGCACAGCUACUAUUUUGGGAUGCAGUAGAAUGCCUCCUGGUCCAGGUAUUCGUGGAAGAAGGAAUUCUUGGUGCUACCGCAGACUAUGUUGCUAAGAGCAGAUGGAAUCAUUCGCUGCUUAAGGAGGCCUGAUCAUUGCUGUGCCGGUUAAUUCUCGGGGUAAUGAUUACUGGGGUUGUCUAACAUUUCAGAGUGCUGAAGUUAUAAGUAUCGAUUAAUGCAUGUUUACAAUCAACAGUGAUAGACAAACAGUGAAUGAGUCUGUUGGGUGGAUUCAGAACUGAUAACAUAUUUGUACUAUUCCUCAUGGUUUCAAAGGAUUAGCAAAGGAUAAAGCAAGACAUAGAAGAUUUUGUUGAUUUCCUUGGCCAAGAGCAUGAGAAAGGGGAAGCUGGGAAGACAGAAUUUCUGACAAAGAACUGCUGUUUAAACUUCACAAAUGAUAGCCCAACAGUGGAACAACGUACCGUUCAGCUGAACAGAACCAGCAGACACAGGUAUCUCAUCCCAGAAGACACGCAGUGAGCAGACACACAGAGGCUGGCUGGCAGGACGUACUCCCCACAGAAGUAACACUGUCCCUCCCCGGCACUGCUUCUGUGUAAACUCCGUACUGCAAUUAAAAAAAAAUCUUCUGUCUUAAGACUUCUUUUUUUGUUUGUUUUUAUUUUUGACUGGUCAGCCAUCAUGGCCCUCUUUUUUUUUUUUUGUCUCCCCAACUUGAUGUAUGAAGGCUUCGGUCUCCCUGGGAGUGGGUUGAGGUGUUGAGGCUGCCAGGGUUUGCCUGUACACUGACUUGAGAGACCAGCCUAAUAAAAGUGCACACCUUACAAACAAA